ensembl:lncRNA
UCUAUAUGUUUGCUACCGAUGUUAUUGUUAAGUAGCGGCGUAAAUUGUGGAACUGAAACACAUCAGAACCUGCGCCUCACAUACCGCCAGCCUAGUUCCUUCUGCUCGUGUGAGAGCAUACUCCAGCAGCUCAGUAUUCAAAUACAUGUGAAGGUUCCUGUGUGAAAUUUGUUGCUUUUCCAUUAAACACUGUUCUGAUGGUCUUUUUGGUUUUGUUUAACUAGGUUUCAGAGUUACUGAGUUAACUUCAGGUGCGCUAGCUUGAUAGGAAUAGAAAUGAGAUACGUGUUUGUUUUCUUCUGCAUUGCCAGUAAGAGAAAAUGCAUACAAACGAAAUAGUAAUGAUUACCAGAAAAGAUGAAAGAAAAGCUGCAAUACUACUAUAAUGUAGGGGGUAAAAAAAAAAAAAAAGGAGAAAAGAAAAAAGAAACACUUCAAUUACAGUUGCUUUUCUCACCAAGUAAAAGCAAAGGCCCUGUGUUGUUUAUUGCAGAGGUGGAAAGGGGGACAGGGUGCUCUUACGGCUGCUGGGCUUUAUAAAAGUUUUCACAGGGAUUUUUAAAUACUUAGCAGCUCAAGGUUGCCCACUUCUUGCUUUUUUUUCGUGAGUAUUACCAAGUUUCAGUUUUACUCAUACAGUGUUUUUCCCCUGCAGAGACCCAGCUGUUAGUCAUGUGAAUCAAACUUUCAAAAAAACAGUCUCCUGAUAUUCAUUGUGGUUUAUUUGCCUUUUCUAAAUAAUCCAAAAUAUUAACCUUUUAAAGUAUUUUGUAGCUAUGUACUUCUGAAAUUCUUCUGCAUGUUUAAAUAUUUGGUGUCAGCAUUACUCUUCUUCAAGUGUAUUCCUUAGAGAAAAUCCAAAUCUCACAGCACACAGAAAUCUCUUUUCAGGAAUAUGUUUAACAAUAACAGAACCAUGCAAUGGCCUUGCGUAUGAUAUUUCACCAUCUUGAUAAAUUAAAAAUUGUUCGAAACCGUUGAGCAAUGAGAGUUGUGAAAUAUCUACUUUAUUGAUUUGGUCCCCUGACAUUUAUUUACAUGCAGAAAUAAAGCAUGCUGUAGAUGCUUAUUUGGAAGACACUUGCAUACCUUACUAUGGUUCUCUAUUCACAGCUUUCAUCACACUUCAAUUCAGCCAAAUAACGCCCUGUGCUCCAGUCUGUGGUAGAGGAAACCCCGAAGGGACUCAUAAUAUAGCAGAGUGCUCAGUAAAUCAUCAGUUGUGUAAUUAUGCAAAAACACAUUUAGCUACUUCUGCUUGCUAUUUGGCAGCCCAACAGCCUACUAGUCAGGGAAGCACCUUCCAUUCUUGUGUUGCUGGAAUAAACCUACCAACAGUGGUACUGAAAACUGUUCCCUGUUUUUACACAUGUUGGCAUAGCCUUAAUAUCGUUGCAAAAUAUUAA